rnacentral:rRNA from 1 species
UUGGACAUGGGUGAGAGCCUGAUCCAGCCAUCCCGCGUGAAGGACGACGGCCCUAUGGGCUUGUAAACUUCUUUUGUAUAGGGAUAAACCUUUCCACGUGUGGAAAGCUGAAGGUACUAUACGAAUAAGCACCGGCUAACUCCGUG